GGAGCGCGCGUAUAAGUACAUGCGCGUGGACGAAGGAGCCUCCGACCGGCGCCUGAUCGAGUUCAAGGGCCCGAAGGAGAAGCGAAGAAAGGGUCGGGACCCCGCCGAACCUAGCAGGCCCCCAACAGACGGUCGGGUCUCACCCCCGCGAUGAAACCAGAGGUCGUCCCGACGGCAGACUCCAAGGCCGACAUGCCCCAG
rnacentral:lncRNA from 1 species